UUAAGCCAACAUUUUAACUAACCUAAUACUAUCAUUUGAACACUUAUAGGUAUGUUAACUGAUUUCAAAAUUAUCUAUAUACAUCUUUUGUAAUGGCAUGUUUUCCAUCAAUGUGUGUGAACAUUGAAAACAUAAACUGUUGAAUAUCUAAGGUCAUCUCCAUUGGUAAGAAACCUUCAAAGUUUCUCAAAAAAAAAAAUUACUAAUAUUUUAUUAUGACUUAAUUUUGUAAUUAAUAUAUUCUUUUCUUUUUUUCAGUUGUCUAAUUACUUCAAAAUUUCUCUGCACAGAAACGUUUCUGUAAUUAUGUUAUUCUCUCUCCUCCUUUAUGAAUUGUUUAUAUUAUAUUAGUGAAAAGCAACUCUCAAAAUUGUAACCGAUGGAGAUGAUCUAACCUAUUUACCAAAAACAAUUCAGACAAAAUUUAUUUUCGGUUUAG
rnacentral:sRNA from 1 species